AAGACUGAAUGCUUCCUGCCCCCACCAGCAGCGCCAGUGAACACCGCAGGAUGGAGCAUGGCAGCGGGCUUACCCAGACCCCCAGCUCUGAAGAGAUCAGUCCUACUAAGUUUCCUGGACUGUACCGCACUGGCCAGCCCUCACGUCCCCAUGGCAUCCUCCAUAAGCCUCCUGAUAUAGUGCCUGAUGAUGAGAAAGACCAUGGGAAGAAAAAAGGAAAAUUUAAGAAAAAGGAAAAGAGGACUGACGGCUAUGCAGCCUUUCAGGAAUAUAGCUCUGGAGAUGAGGCAGAAAGUCCUUCCAAAAUGAAGAGGCUCAAGGGAAUCCAUGUUUUCAAGAAGCCCAGCUUUUCUAAAAAGAAAGAGAAGGAUUUUAAAAUAAAACAGAAACCCAAAGAAGAAAAGCAUAAAGAAGAAAAGCACAAAGAAGAAAAACAUAAAGAGAAGAAGUCAAAAGACCUGACAGAAGCUGAUGUUGUUAAACAGUGGAAGGAAAAGAAGAAAAAGAAAAACCAAUUCAGGAGCCAGAGGUGCCUCAGAUUGAUGUUCCAAAUCUCAAACCCAUUUUUGGAAUUCCUUUGGCUGAUGCAGUAGAGAGGACCAUGAUGUAUGAUGGCAUUCGGCUGCCGGCCAUUUUCUGUGAAUGUAUAGAUCACUUAGAGAAGUAUGGCAUGAUGCGAAGGCAUCUACAGAGUAUCAGGAAUUGAAUCAAAGGUGGAUGAGCUAAAAGCAGCCUAUGACCGGAAGGAGUCUACCAACUUGGAAGAAUAUGAGCUUAACACUGUAGCCAGUUUGCUGAAGCAGUAUUUGUGAGACCUUCCAGAGAAUUUGGUUACCAAAGAGCUUAUGCCGAGAUUUGAAGAAGCUUGUGGGAGGACCACGGAGACUGAGAAAGUGCAGGAAUUCCAGCGUUUACUCAAAGAACUGCCAGAAUGUAACUAUCUUCUGAUUUCUUGGCUCAUUGUGCACAUGGACCAUGUCAUUGCAAAUGAACUGGAAACAAAAAUGAAUAAACAGAACAUUUCUAUAGUGCUCAACCCAACUGUGCAGAUCAGCAAUUGAGUCCUGUAUGUGUUUUUCACACAUGCGCAAGAACUCUUUGGAAAUGUUGUACUAAAGCAAGCGACGAAACCUCUGCGAUGGUCUAACAUGGCCACGAUGCCCACGCUGCCAGAGACCCAGGCAGGUAUCAAGGAGGAGAUCAGGAGACAGGGUUUUCUUUUGAAUUGUUUACAUCGAUAUCUGCAGUGUGGGAUAAAGGAUUUAUCUAAAGAAGAAAGAUUAUGGAAAGUCCAAAGAAUUUUGACAGCCCUCAAAAGAAAACUGAGAGACGCUUAAAGACAGGAGUGUGAAACCAAGAUUACACAAAAGAUAGCCAGUCUUUUAAAAGAGGAUGUUUCCAAAGAAGAGAUGAAUGAAAAUGAAGAAGUUAUAAAUAUUCUCCUUGCUUGGGAGAAUGAGAUCCUGACUGAAUAGGAGGAGCUCCUGACCAUGGAGCAGUUUCUAUGCCGGCAGACUUCCUCAGAAAAAGAAGAGAUGGGAUGCCUCAGAGCCGAGAUUGCUGAAAUUCAGAGUCACCAGCAGCACGGCCGAAGUGAGACUGAGGAGUACUCCUCCGAGAGCGAGAGUGAGGAUGAGGAGGAGCUGCAGAUUAUUCUGGAAUAUUUACAGAGACAGAACGAAGAGCUGGAAAUAAAGAGCAAUCAUUUGAAUCAAGCAGUUCAAGAGGAGCGCGAGGUCAUCAUCGAGCUGCGCGUACAGUUCCGGCUGCUCCAGAUGGAGGGAACCAAGGCUGAGCAGCAGGUGCAGGAGGACCAGGAGCCUGAGUGGCGCGGUGGUGCCGUCCAGUCGCCCAGAGACUGUGUCCUCAGGCCAAAAGAAGCUAAAGAGCAGCCAAAGGCAGGCAAAGAGCCGGUGAAGCCAUCACCCAGCAGGGACAGGAAGGAGACGUCCA
rnacentral:lncRNA from 1 species